CAUUUCCACACAAUAAUUUUUUGAGUGUCGCUCGUCACCAAUACGGACUCGCUCUCAGAAUAUACGCUAUGAAUCUGAUCUUUGACAAGCGCUGCCUGGACAGAGUAGGUGUCGAUACAUGGGAAAAGUUGAAAAAUGUUUUCUCCGACCCCUAAAUCGAUUCGGAUCGAGUCGGUCCCAUAGACACUUUUUAUCAGGGGACCAUAUAGAUUGAUUUUCUGCCCUGUGCC